ACACAUGCAAGUCGAACGGAAAGGCCCUUUCGGGGGUGCUCGAGUGGCGAACGGGUGAGUAACACGUGGGUGAUCUGCCCUGCACUUUGGGAUAAGCCUGGGAAACUGGGUCUAAUACCGAAUAGGACCAUGGGAUGCAUGUCUUGUGGUGGAAAGCUUUUGCGGUGUGGGAUGGGCCCGCGGCCUAUCAGCUUGUUGGUGGGGUGAUGGCCUACCAAGGCGACGACGGGUAGCCGGCCUGAGAGGGUGUCCGGCCACACUGGGACUGAGAUACGGCCCAGACUCCUACGGGAGGCAGCAGUGGGGAAUAUUGCACAAUGGGCGCAAGCCUGAUGCAGCGACGCCGCGUGGGGGAUGACGGCCUUCGGGUUGUAAACCCCUUUCAGUACCGACGAAGCGUAAGUGACGGUAGGUACAGAAGAAGCACCGGCCAACUACGUGCCAGCAGCCGCGGUAAUACGUAGGGUGCGAGCGUUGUCCGGAAUUACUGGGCGUAAAGAGCUCGUAGGUGGUUUGUCGCGUUGUCCGUGAAAACUCACAACUCAAUUGUGGGCGUGCGGGCGAUACGGGCAGACUGGAGUACUGCAGGGGAGACUGGAAUUCCUGGUGUAGCGGUGGAAUGCGCAGAUAUCAGGAGGAACACCGGUGGCGAAGGCGGGUCUCUGGGCAGUAACUGACGCUGAGGAGCGAAAGCGUGGGGAGCGAACAGGAUUAGAUACCCUGGUAGUCCACGCCGUAAACGGUGGGUACUAGGUGUGGGUUUCCUUCCUUGGGAUCCGUGCCGUAGCUAACGCAUUAAGUACCCCGCCUGGGGAGUACGGCCGCAAGGCUAAAACUCAAAGGAAUUGACGGGGGCCCGCACAAGCGGCGGAGCAUGUGGAUUAAUUCGAUGCAACGCGAAGAACCUUACCUGGGUUUGACAUGCACAGGACGC
rnacentral:rRNA from 1 species